rnacentral:rRNA from 1 species
GAACGCGCCCUUCGGGGCGAGUGGCGGACGGGUGAGUAACGCGUGGGAACGUGCCUUUUGGUUCGGAAUAACUCAGGGAAACUUGUGCUAAUACCGAAUGUGCCCUUCNGGGGGAAAGAUUUAUCGCCAAAAGAGCGGCCCGCGUCUGAUUAGCUAGUUGGUGGGGUAAAGGCCCACCAAGGCUACGAUCAGUAGCUGGUCUGAGAGGAUGAUCAGCCACACUGGGACUGAGACACGGCCCAGACUCCUACGGGAGGCAGCAGUGGGGAAUCUUGCGCAAUGGGCGAAAGCCUGACGCAGCCAUGCCGCGUGGAUGAUGAAGGUCUUAGGAUUGUAAAAUCCUUUCACCGGGGACGAUAAUGACGGUACCCGGAGAAGAAGCCCCGGCUAACUUCGUGCCAGCAGCCGCGGUAAU